UACGUAGGGUGCGAGCGUUGUCCGGAAUUACUGGGCGUAAAGAGCUCGUAGGUGGUUUGUCGCGUUGUCCGUGAAAACUCACAACUCAAUUGUGGGCGUGCGGGCGAUACGGGCAGACUGGAGUACUGCAGGGGAGACUGGAAUUCCUGGCGUAGCGGUGGAAUGCGUAGAUAUCAGGAGGAACACCGGUGGCGAAGGCGGGUCUCUGGGCAGUAACUGACGCUGAGGAGCGAAAGCGUGGGGAGCGAACAGG
rnacentral:rRNA from 1 species